CUGGAAACCCCAGGCCUUUCCUUCCUGGGCGAAAGAAGAGAUUCACACAUAAAACCAUCUCUGCCUCGUGCUGACAGUUGUCUUGAUAUGCUCAACACACUCCUAAAACGCUCAGAGUGCUGUUCUUCCCUUGAAUCACUGCUUUUCACGGGGAGCUUGUUCAGCUGGAAAAUGCCUUGGCUGGCAGGACCCCGGGAGGUCGGGCAGCACAUCACUGUCCAGCUGAGUUCCAGCCUCCUCCCUCCCCACAUCUGCUUCGGGGGUUCUUUUCCAUCCAGCUGGAUGAUUUUCUACCUAUACUUGUAGGGUACAGAAUGUUCCACUUGCCUGUGAAGGCUGUAUUAGCCCCUCUAUUUUGCCCUGUCUGCUGAUUAAUGGGGCGAACGACCCCAAAUCCACACGGCUGCGAACUUCCCGGUACUUGGCUGCCCUCGGAGAGACAUGAAGGAAAAAUCUCCCCACUCGAUGUGUGUGUGUGCAUAAAGUGAUUUAUUUAAAAGGCACAGUGUAUUAACAGUGCUCCCACCCAUGUGCUCCUUCUCAGACAGAGACAAAUUGCCCUCUCAGCAGCUGGGCCUGCCAAUGCCAUUUGCACUUUGCUUUUGCCAAGUGACAGGAAACUCAGCUCUGUCCCCUCGUCCCCCCUGAGCUGUCUUGUUAAAGCACAUUUGGGCUGCAGGAGCUGAUCUGCAGCGCUCAGCCCAGGCACUGGCACCAUGGAAUGGCUGGGAAAGUAUCAAGGAGUUUUCCUGCUGAAGGGAACUUUUCAACACCUCCCCAUCAUUUGCUCCGGAUGCUUAAUCCCAUUUAAAUAACCACGUGUCCAACAUGCCCAGUCAUCAGCUUGCAGGUGGCCUUGCUGAGAUUUUUCAGCUUGAAGUUUUUCUGCCUCUCGUUGCAGAAAUUUUUUGCGGGGAUUAUUUCCCCCCCAAAUAUUGACUUUUUGGUUUCAAGAUUACUGUUGAUGUGCUCGGGCACAGGAGUUGCUCAGCCCACCUCAGGAAAAGAGGCACAUUAAGAAGAUGAAUGCAUUUAUCAGGCAAAUCAGCUGGCUGAUUAUAUACUUUUGGGUUUACCUGCAAGACAUUGUUUGAAUAAAUCCUUUUCCCCCUGUAAUUCCAUGUGCAAACAGCUGUGAGUCCUCACCUUUCAGUCCCUGGAAGAAGUAGGUCUGAUUUAUGGUGUUUACCUGGCAGUGCCUGUGGUUUGGUACUGAACAGGCUUCAAUCUUCACCUCCUCAAAGAAAACAAAAUCUUAUUUAUUAACAAUGAGAAACCUACAGGAUCCUUUGCAAGCAUUGUCUGACAGUGCACUGCCAGAUCCAGAGAAGCCAAUUAGUGCAGGAAUGGCAAAGGAUGAACUUCAGGCAGGUCCACUCUGUCCUUUUGCUGCUGGGGGCACCCGAGGCUGUAGAAUAAAGGGAAGGCAAAGCUGGAUUUCUAGAUCAGAUAAAGUGACCUGCACUGGCUGCUUUGGCUGUGACAAUUGGGGUUUUUGCACCAUUUCUUUCAGGACACCUGUUUCAUGAUUUAAUCAUUCAGGUCGCUUAAACUUCUGGGGGUGAACUAAAAAUAGAUGCUGAGUUUGAGCCAUUAGUCUGGCUCUGUAUUUCCCAGGGAACAACAGUCCAACAGUGCUGUGAAAAAUGAUGGUUUGUUUGGUUUUUUAAGAAAAAAAAGAAUAACUGAACCAGUGCAAAAAAACCCCAGACCAAAUGAAAAAAAAACAACAAUCCAACACUCAAAAAAAAAAAAUGAAUCAAAAAACCCCCAAACAAACACCCAAAGAAAACCAAUAAAUUAAAACCCCCAAACAACCCCCCCAAAAAAAAAUGAAUCAAAAAAACUCCAAACAAAAACAAUUAAUAAAAAAAAGCAAACCAAAAACCUAAACAAAGAAAAUGAAUUAAAACAGCCCAAACAAAACCAAUGAAACAAACAUCCCCAAAACAAACCCCCAAACAAAAGCAAUGAAAGGAAAACCCCAAAACAAACCCCUAAACAAAAGCAAUGAAACAAAAACCCCAAAACAAACCCCCAAACAGAAACAAACAAUGAAACAGAGACCCCCCCAGACAAACAUCCAAAUAAAAACUGGGAAUCAAAAAACUCCAAAAAAACCACCUAAUAGAAAAUAAUGAAUUAAAACCCCCAAACAAACACUCAAACAAAACCAAUGAAACAAAAACCCCAAAAACCCAAAUGAAAACAGUGAAUCAAAAAACCCCAAAUGGAAACAAUGCAUGAAAAAGCCCCAAAACAAACAUACAAACAAAAAGAAACAAACAACAACAACAACAAAAAACAAACAGAAAAACUGGUUUACUUUGUGUACAGAGAAUUUAAAAAUAUUCAAAUCCGUGAGAGAUUGUGAGGGAGGAAAACAGUCAAAUCAAAGAUGUUUCUAUGGCACUCUUAGGUGGAAAGCUGUCUCUGGCAGUGUUUAAAGUGCUUGUUAAUCUUCUGCCUGAAUAUUUCCCAAUCAGGAAAAGAAAUAACAAAGUACAGAACGCUUUUUUUUUGUUAAAUUAGGUGAAAUACUAUUAGAUGUAUUUAACUGAAUGAUUCUCUGCUGAGCUCUCAGACAUUUUGGAUGUUGAUUUUGGUUUUUUUUUGUUAAUAGAUGUGUUUUUUUGCAGUGUUCACCACGAUGUAUUCAUCAGUCUCUGGCUUCUGAGCUGUUUGUCAUUCAGAACAGGGCACUCUCUCCUGGGUGACUGGAGCACUCCUUGAUCCCCCAACUGAAAUGGCCAAAGAUAAUUAAACUAACAAAUGGCAAACAGUGAAUAGCAAAUAAGGAGUAUCGACCCUGUCUGAGCAGCAGCAGGAAAUCCAGGCCCUAAACACUGAGGCCACCACGUGAGAGAUGCUUCAGGAACAGCAGAAGCGAGGAGUUCUUGUCCUGAUGAAUUUUGAGUUGAUGACUCCACCAAACUCUCCAGAAGAAAGAGAAACACAAAGGUUUAGUGGCUGAUAUGAGAACCUGGAGUGGGUUAUUGGAAAAAUGAGCCCUCCAGCCCCUCCCAGCACCACUUUAAAUCGAUCAAGGCUGGGUUGCACUCUCCAGGUCCUGGGAAUGCGAGGAAUUAAAAACAGUUCCAGCAGUUUAACAUCCUGCUGCAGGAUAACCUCUGAUAUUUUGAACUGGGCCAUUGUUCUCAUAAAAACACCUUUCUCAGCUCGAAGAAUUAUGUAGCACUUGCCCUCAAAGCCUUGGUAAUUGCUGCAGGUAACCCCUUGGAUAACUCAGCGCUCCGUUUGCACCACUCCUAAAUGUCCCUCUUGGAGUAAUUUAGGGAAGGGAGGUCACCCCACCAACACAGGGACAUUUAUCUAACACAGAGGUAGCUCUGCAUUUUAUAUCACACCUCAUUUUUUUGUCCUUACAAAAGGACAAAGGACAUGGGAAAAUUACAACCUUUUUAGAGUUAAUAAGUGUAGGUGGCUCUGAGUAGAAAAUGUUUCACUAAAUUCUGAAAGCUCCUCUGUGUCACAUGUUUUUACUUCUAAAUACUUGAAUUAUCUGCCUGAAAUCAUUAAUUUCAACUGGAAGACACCUCCAAAUGCCAGCAGAGACAGAAUCAUUCCUACCACUGGAGAAGAGAGGAUGCAAAUGGCUCCUUUAAAUAUACUCAACUUUUUUUCCUAAAUUCUCUGGGCCAUCAAUAACCCAGUUUCUUUUCCUGUGUAUUGCUGCAACAGAAGCUUCUGGAGACAGAUGAGCUGCACUGAGUUAGUCCCUGCCUCUGCUUUUCCUGCUUUCAUGCUGGAAUCGUGCAAAAGCAGGAAAGAAUUUUGGCAGUUGGAGUCACAGGCGGAUUUGCUCUUGGUGCCAUUGUAAUUUACUUGUUCAGAUAAAUGUCUUUUCCACUUG